CACCUGCAUGCACAACGCACAGGUCCCUGCUCGGGGGACCUUGCCACACCAGAAGGGACACACGUGCCGACUUCCCAUCAGGGAGCACAGAGUCCAGUCCCCAGACCCAGGCUCUGCACAGUUGUGAAGAUACCACAGGCCAGAAUUGAAGCAAUCAGACCCAAACCAUCUGCGACUGAGCCCUAGAGCUGAUUGGGAAUCAACACCUUUUGUUCUCGGACAUCUCCACUGAAUAUUUUCUUUAUCUCUCAGCAACAAAGUUUGCCUUUGAAAAGUUGAACACGAUUGAGAUCACUGUGGAAUGCCACUACCCGGAGACAGCAUACAGUGCUAAUCUGCCUCAUCCUCAAGCUGGCCCCUGUGAUGGUGAGGACGGCUUUGUUCCUGGAGAUGGACCUGGAGAUGUGAUCAAGGACCUGAGACAGUCCUAGUCCCUGUCUCCUGAUAGCCACGGGGCAGAAGACCAGAGGUGGGGGAGUCUACACCAGAGGCACCCCAGGCUGUGGAAGUCACCCUCAUUUGCUCUUGGAAGC